GUCUAUGCCUUCUCUGUUUGUGUUCACUGGGAGUCUGCGUGCACCUGUGUGUUUGAGCACUGGUGUCUGUCAUUCCAGUUGGUUGUUUAUCAGUGUUGUCAUGUUAGCAGCUCAUGCAGCAGUCAGUAGGAGAGAAGCAGAACCGGACCUGCUAAUAACAAAAACUCAGAGCAAAGGAACGGUGUUUGGAGAGUUUCUGCCUCCAUCUUGAGACGAAAGAAAUCUGAGGAACAAACUUGCCUAGCUGGAAUGAAAGACUGACAACAAGCAGACUUGUGGGGAAAAGGGUGGCUUUAAGAACUUCUGGAAUGGAUGGAGAGACCCAACUGCGUUACCCCCCACCCGGUUUCUUGAUUUCUCCUAAAGCGUUGGCCUACACUUCUCUUCGAGCCUGACUUCAUCUGAGUGUAGAGGACGUUUGACCACCAGGUCCAGCUUAUGCCUUACUGGUAUGUUGGCGAUUUACGAAACUUACAGUUUUCUUUUUGUGGAAGCGGUUCAAAAUAGGGUCUAACCCACACAUUGCGAUGCGUACGUGAUUUUUAUAUUUUUUUUAAAAAC
ensembl:lncRNA